AGGGUGUCUUCCCCUUCCUGGGCACGUUCCUCUAUCACCUGAAGCUGCUGGACAUUGGGAUGGAGGAUGAUCUGGAAGGAAAUCGGGCCAACUUCCAGAAAGGGUGUGAGAAAUUCAAAGUCAUCAGGGGGAUCCAGCUGCUCCAGCAGGCUGCAAAUGCGUAUGACCUGGAGCCCGAAGAGCG